GCUAACUCCGGGCCAGCAGCCGCGUGAAGACGGAGGGGGCAAGGGUUAUCCGGAUUCACUGGGUUUAAAGGGUGCGUAGGUGGGUUGAUAAGUCAGUGGUGAAAGCUCCGAGCUUAACUUGGAAACUGCCAUUGAUACUGUCAGUCUUGAAUGUCGUAGAGGUAAGCGGAAUGUUGCAUGUAGCGGUGAAAUGCUUAGAUAUGUUACAGAACACCAAUUGCGAAGGCAGCUUACUAUGCGAUGAUUGACGCUGAGGCACGAAAGCGUGGGGAGCAAACAGGAUUAGAUACCCUAUUAGUC
rnacentral:rRNA from 1 species